rnacentral:rRNA from 1 species
CCUACGGGCGGCAGCAGUGGGGAAUAUUGGGCAAUGGGCGCAAGCCUGACCCAGCAACGCCGCGUGAAGGAAGAAGGCUUUCGGGUUGUAAACUUCUUUCAUGGGGGAAGAGCAGAAGACGGUACCUAUUGAAUAAGCCACGGCUCACUACGUGCCAGCAGCCGCGGUAAUACGGAGGUGGCAAGCGUUGUCCGGAUUUACUGGGUGUAAAGGGCGUGCAGCGGGGAAGACAAGUCAGAUGUGAAAUCCCGCGGCUCAACCGCGGAACUGCGUUUAAAACUGUUUUUCUUGAGUACCGGAGAGGUCAUCGGAAUUCCUUGUGUAGCGGUGAAAUGCGUAGAUAUAAGGAGGAACACCAGUGGCGAAGGCGGAUGACUGGGCUGCAACUGACGGUGAGGCGCGAAAGCGUGGGGAGCAAACAGGAUUAGAUACCCCGGUAGUC